UUACGGGAGGCAGCAGUGGGGAAUAUUGGACAAUGGGCGCAAGCCUGAUCCAGCAAUGCCGCGUGAGUGAAGAAGGUCUUCGGAUUGUAAAGCUCUUUUGGCGGGGACGAUGAUGACGGUACCCGCAGAAUAAGCCCCGGCUAACUUCGUGCCAGCAGCCGCGGUAAUACGAAGGGGGCUAGCGUUGCUCGGAAUGACUGGGCGUAAAGGGCGCGUAGGCGGAAUGUACAGUCAGACGUGAAAUUCCUGGGCUCAACCUGGGGGCUGCGUUUGAUACGUGCGUUCUUGAGUGAGGAAGAGGGUCGUGGAAUUCCCAGUGUAGAGGUGAAAUUCGUAGAUAUUGGGAAGAACACCGGUGGCGAAGGCGGCGACCUGGUCCUUUACUGACGCUGAGGCGCGAAAGCGUGGGGAGCAAACAGGAUUAGAUACCCCGGU
rnacentral:rRNA from 1 species